UCCAACAUCACCACGUUUGAGAUCUCCAACCCCCUCUUCCUUUCUAUUUAUAAAAACUUUAAAAGGGCGGUUGUCGAUGCAUAUGUCUAUAAUAAAUAUUGUAGAUCUCGUUGAGUUUAUCUUGAUAUAGGUCAGCGUUGGAAGGGAAACCACUUCGCCGACAUAAAUUGAUGGUUUCCCAAGGACAAGCUUAGUGUCUUAAAAUAAGCACUGAUCAGAUCGUAACAUGAGCUUUUUAUUAUUUACAACAUUACCUAGUGUAUUGAGCAUAUAAGGAUAAUUGUAAAAAUAUUCCUUCGGGUAUUCUUGUCACUAACCUUUCUAGGAUUGGAGCAAG
rnacentral:lncRNA from 1 species